CCUGCAGGAAAGGACAUCAACCGAGACUCCGCAAGUAGUGGCGAGCGAACGCGGACCAGGCCAGUGGCAAUGAGGAAUAAAGUGGAACGACAUGGAAAGGUCGGCCGUAGAGGGUGAUAGCCCCUUACACGUAGAACACUCAUUGUCCUUGAGUAAGGCGGGACACGUGAAAUCCUGUCUGAACAUGGGGAGACCACUCUCCAAGCCUAAGUACUCGUGCAUGACCGAUAGCGAACAAGUACCGUGAGGGAAAGGUGAAAAGCACCCCGACAAGGGGAGUGAAAUAGAACCUGAAACCGGAUGCCUACAAACAGUUGGAGCCCGCAAGGGUGACAGCGUACCUUUUGUAUAAUGGGUCAACGACUUAGUGUGACGAGCAAGCUUAAGCCGAUAGGUGAAGGCGCAGCGAAAGCGAGUCUGAACAGGGCGUUCAGUUCGUCGCAUUAGACCCGAAACCGAGUGAUCUAGCCAUGAGCAGGUUGAAGGUUGGGUAACACCAACUGGAGGACCGAACCCGCAUCUGUUGCAAUAGAUUGGGAUGACUUGUGGUUAGGGGUGAAAGGCCAAUCAAACUCGGAAAUAGCUGGUUCUCCGCGAAAACUAUUUAGGUAGUGCGUCGACCGAAUACCCUCGGGGGUAGAGCACUGGAUGGGCUAUGGGGACUCACCGUCUUACUGAUCCUAACCAAACUCCGAAUACCGAGGAGUACUAGUCGGCAGACACACGGCGGGUGCUAACGUCCGUCGUGAAAAGGGCAACAACCCUGACCUCCAGCUAAGGUCCCCAAGUCAUGGCUAAGUGGGAAAGGAUGUGAGGAUCCCAAAACAACCAGGAUGUUGGCUUAGAAGCAGCCAUCAUUUAAAGAAAGCGUAACAGCUCACUGGUCUAAAUAAGGGUCUUUGCGCCGAAAAUGUAACGGGGCUAAAGCCAUGCACCGAAGCUGAGGAUACGUCGCAAGACGUGUGGUAGCGGAGCGUUCCGUAAGCCUGUGAAGGGAUACCCGUGAGGGGUCCUGGAGGUAUCGGAAGUGCGAAUGUUGACAUGAGUAACGAUAAAGAGGGUGAGAGACCCUCUCGCCGAAAGACCAAGGGUUCCUGCUUAAAGUUAAUCUGAGCAGGGUUAGCCGGCCCCUAAGACGAGGCGGACACGCGUAGUCGAUGGGAACCACGUUAAUAUUCGUGGGCCUGGUGGUAGUGACGGAUCGCUUAACUUGUUCACACUUAUUGGAUUGUGUGGGCGGGGACGCGGUUCCAGGAAAUAGCUCCACCGUAUAGACCGUACCCGAAACCGACACAGGUGGUCAGGUAGAGUAUACCAAGGCGCUUGAGAGAACUAUGCUGAAGGAACUCGGCAAAUUGCACGCGUAACUUCGGAAGAAGCGUGACCCCAAGGGACGCAAGUCUGUUGGGGUGGCACAGACCAGGGGGUAGCGACUGUUUAUCAAAAACACAGGGCUCUGCGAAGUCGCAAGACGACGUAUAGGGUCUGACGCCUGCCCGGUGCUGGAAGGUUAAGAGGAGGGGUGCAAGCUCUGAAUCGAAGCCCCAGUAAACGGCGGCCGUAACUAUAACGGUCCUAAGGUAGCGAAAUUCCUUGUCGGGUAAGUUCCGACCUGCACGAAUGGCGUAACGACUUCCCCGCUGUCUCCAGCAUAGACUCAGUGAAAUUGAAUUCCCCGUGAAGAUGCGGGGUUCCUGCGGUCAGACGGAAAGACCCCGUGCACCUUUACUAUAGCUUUACACUGGCAUUCGUGUCGGCAUGUGUAGGAUAGGUGGUAGGCUUUGAAGCAGGGACGCCAGUUCUUGUGGAGCCAUCCUUGAAAUACCACCCUUAUCGUCAUGGAUGUCUAACCGCGGUCCGUUAUCCGGAUCCGGGACAGUGUAU
rnacentral:rRNA from 1 species